GGAGGCUCAGUCCACGUUCUGCUGAGCAUUUCUAAAUGUUUUUGUGCAGCAGUGUUUCAGGUGGGGGGAACUUCAUCCUUUUGUCUGAUUUUGUGCAUAAAUCUCAUGUCUUUAAGCUCCUGUUUCUCCCCUGUGAUCCUGAAAGGGGAACAAAAAGAGCACCUUUGUGGCUUGGAGCACACUGCUGUGCUGUCAAGAGAAGGUUACUUGCAGGUUACCUGGAGCUCAAAGUGUCUAAUGAGCUACACUGAACAAAUACAGAUAUGUUGAAUAGUGUCUCCUUUUGUGUCUUCUCUUAUAUAGGAAAUUGGAAGAUCUGACUUUGGUUUUCUAAUGGAGCCAUUAAAGAAAAUUAACAUUAACCUCACUGCUUUUCUGCUCCUCCUUCUCCACAGUCUUUUCAUUGGACAGUGCAGGGCAGCAGCUUGUAUUUUUGGAAGAACAGAAAUUCUCACAGAAAUACCCACAAGAGGUGUGGGUAAACUCUCAGUCUUCCCAGAGAAUAUUGGUGUCAGCUUUUCAUCCCAGGAAUACAGGGAGAGUGUUGCUGUCUGCAAGUUUGAAGAAUGGCUCUUCUACUUCAUCACACUCCUCUACAUGUUUCUAGUCCUGCUGUAUUUUUUUUCAUGGAAAUAGGAGUUUCUUACUUAAGUAUCACUUGCCUGUUGGUUGCCCUUGGAACCAUUUUGAAGUUAUAGCCAGUGAAGAAACCAGAGGUGCCUUGGGCAUAGAAACUGUGGCCUAAACCUCAGUGAGUGGCUGGAUGAAAAGCAGACAGUUUGUUUUUUUUCAAAUUACACUCUGAAAUGUUGUAUUUCAAACCCAUUAUUGAUAAUUCUUUGUUGCUUUUAGAAAUAAAAAAAGCAAGAUUCA